GUGAUUAUGGUGUAAAAGUAGCACUACUCUCUGUGAAGGAGUCGGUUAGGGUGCAAAUCCCUAUAAUCACC
rnacentral:tRNA from 1 species